GCUCGAACUGGCGAAGCGCGGUGCUAAAGUCGUUGUGAAUGAUUUGGGUGCCGCCCGUGACGGCAGUGGCGGUUCAGGCUUCGCCGCUGAAGCA
rnacentral:tRNA from 1 species